GAUGAACGCUGACCGAAUGCUUAACACAUGCAAGUCAACUUGAAUUUGGGUUUUUAACUUAGGUUUGGGUGGCGGACGGGUGAGUAACGCGUAAAGAACUUGCCUCACAGCUAGGGACAACAUUUGGAAACGAAUGCUAAUACCUAAUAUUAUGAUAAUAGGGCAUCCUAUAAUUAUGAAAGCUAUAAGCGCUGUGAGAGAGCUUUGCGUCCCAUUAGCUAGUUGGAGAGGUAACGGCUCACCAAGGCGAUGAUGGGUAGCCGGCCUGAGAGGGUGAUCGGCCACAAGGGGACUGAGACACGGCCCUUACGCCUACGGGAGGCAGCAGUGGGGAAUAUUGGACAAUGGACCGAGAGUCUGAUCCAGCAAUUCUGUGUGCACGAUGAAGUUUUUCGGAAUGUAAAGUGCUUUCAGUUGGGAAGAAACAAAUGACGGUACCAACAGAAGAAGAGACGGCUAAAUACGUG
rnacentral:rRNA from 1 species